rnacentral:rRNA from 1 species
GUGAGUGGCGAACUGGUGAGUAACACGUGGGAAACCUGCCCAGAAGCGGGGGAUAACACCUGGAAACAGAUGCUAAUACCGCAUAACAACUUGGACCGCAUGGUCCGAGUUUGAAAGAUGGCUUCGGCUAUCACUUUUGGAUGGUCCCGCGGCGUAUUAGCUAGAUGGUGGGGUAACGGCUCACCAUGGCAAUGAUACGUAGCCGACCUGAGAGGGUAAUCGGCCACAUUGGGACUGAGACACGGCCCAAACUCCUACGGGAGGCAGCAGUAGGGAAUCUUCCACAAUGGACGAAAGUCUGAUGGAGCAACGCCGCGUGAGUGAAGAAGGGUUUCGGCUCGUAAAACUCUGUUGUUAAAGAAGAACAUAUCUGAGAGUAACUGUUCAGGUAUUGACGGUAUUUAACCAGAAAGCCACGGCUAACUACGUGCCAGCAGCCGCGGUAAUACGUAGGUGGCAAGCGUUGUCCGGAUUUAUUGGGCGUAAAGCGAGCGCAGGCGGUUUUUUAAGUCUGAUGUGAAAGCCUUCGGCUCAACCGAAGAAGUGCAUCGGAAAC